rnacentral:rRNA from 1 species
UACGGGGGGGGCAAGCGUUGUUCGGAAUUACUGGGCGUAAAGGGCUCGUAGGCGGCCAACUAAGUCGGAUGUGAAAUCCCCAAGCUUAACUUGGGAACUGCAUCCGAUACUGGAUGGCUUGAAUCCGGGAGAGGGAUGCAGAAUUCCAGGUGUAGCGGUGAAAUGCGUAGAUAUCAGGAGGAACACCGGUGGCGAAGGCGGAUCUCUGGGCCUUGCCUGACGCUGAGGCGCGAAAGCUAGGGGAGCGAACAGG